rnacentral:rRNA from 1 species
AUUGAACGCUGGCGGCAGGCCUAACACAUGCAAGUCGAACGAGUGGCGGACGGGUGAGUAAUGUUUGGGAAUCUGGCCUAUGGAGGGGGAUAACUACUGGAAACUGUAGCUAAUACCGCGUACCAUAGGAUGAGCCCAAGUGGGAUUAGGUAGUUGGUGGGGUAAAGGCUCACCAGGCCGACGAUCCCUAGCUGGUCUGAGAGGAUGACCAGCAACACUGGAACUGAGACACGGCCCAGACUCCUACGGGAGGCAGCAGUGGGGAAUAUUGCGCAAUGGGGGCAACCUGACGCAGCCAUGCCGCGUGAAUGAAGAAGGCCUUCGGGUUGUAAAGUUCGUUCGGUAGGGAGGCGUUAACUACAGAAGAAGCACCGGCUAACUCCGUGCCAGCAGCCGCGGUAAUUC